AUUGAACGCUGGCGGCAGGCCUAACACAUGCAAGUCGAGCGGCAGCAGGGAGCUUGCCCCUGGGUCCAGCGGCGGACGGGUGAGUAAUGCAUAGGAACCUGCCCGGUAGUGGGGGAUAACGUCGGGAAAGGGGCGCUAAUACCGCAUACGUCCUGAGGGAGAAAGUGGGGGAUCGUCGGACCUCACGCUAUCAGAUGAGCCGAGGUCGGAUUAGCUAGUUGGUGGGGUAAAGGCCUACCAAGGCGACGAUCCGUAACUGGUCUGAGAGGAUGAUCAGUCACACUGGAACUGAGACACGGUCCAGACUCCUACGGGAGGCAGCAGUGGGGAAUAUUGGACAAUGGGCGAAAGCCUGAUCCAGCCAUGCCGCGUGUGUGAAGAAGGUCUUCGGGUUGUAAAGCGCUUUUAGUCGGGAGGAAGGGCAGUAAGCUAAUACCUUGCGGGUUUGACGGUACCGACAGAAUAAGCACCGGCUAACUACGUG
rnacentral:rRNA from 1 species